CUGAGGUGGGAGGAUUGCUUGAGCCUAGGAGGUUGAGGCUAGAGUGAGCCAUGGUCACACCACUGCACACUAGCCUGGGUAACAGAUUGAGACCUUGUUUCAGAAAACAAAACAAACAGAUCUACAAAGAUCAACCUGUCUUAAGUCAGUCAUAUAAUCUCUUUGUAUAAUAACUCAAAAUACCAUCUUCUCACCUCAAACCUGGUGCUUUUUUUUUUUUUUUAACAAAAUAUGUUCUGUCCAAAUUAUUUUGUUAUUUUGAUUCCUAAAAUAGAAAUAGAAACUAAGAAAAAUAAAAAGCAACUCCUUUAUAAUAUAUGAGGACUUUUUCAGUUUCAAAUCAGAAAAACCCAACUCAGAGUACCUUAAACAAAAGGAGACAUUUAUUCACUUACAUAACCUAAAAGCUCUGACCUGGAUUCAGGUGCUCAACAGAUCUCAAGAAUAUUUCUCUUUUUCUCUCUCCCUUCCUUACCCUCCUCCUCUUUUCUCUCUUCUAUAUGUAUGUUAUUUUCAAACACGCUCCCACAAGUAGUGGCAAUAUAUAGUUCCUAAUAGCUUCAGGUUUACAUUCUGCCUACUUUACCAACUAUGAUGGGAAGAGAGCUACAAUUGGAGCAAAAAUUUUUAGGGUGAGUUCUGAUUUCCCUGGAUUGAGGCACAUGCCUAUUCCCGAACCAAAUAUUCUGGCCAGGGAAUGGAAUUCUCUGGGACAUGUGUCUAAAGCUGAUGUAUAGAACCUGCCACCCCCAACACAGGGAUAAUAAUAGUUUUCCAAAGAAAAGUCAAGGAGGAGAAAGAAUGUUGGAAGAGAGAAAAGUAUCAGUUGUCUGUUUCAUAUUUUUUCUCAACAAUUCUGUAGAUCAUCUACAACUAUUUAGUGUAUAGCUUACGAUAUCAUAGAACUGAAAUACUGUAACACUCUAAACUUUAGAUUAUUUGUAGACAGGAAAAAUAAGAGAUCAAAGAAGCUGUGACUUUAUUCAAAUCACAUAGUUUCAAAUCACAUAGUUUGUAUACAUGCUGUUAAUAAAACCCGGGAUACCCGAGUACAAGUUUUAGCCUUAUAUUCACAUUGAGGUCCAGUUCCUGGUUUUGAAUGAGAUAAUUAUGCAUAGUGGGACUGUUUUCUGAUCCACAAAAUAGAGAUGAUAAUAUUUAUCUUGUAAAGUUGUGGUAGUAUUAAAGAUACGUAUAAAUGUUGGCAGGUACCUUAAUAGAUGGUAACUACUGCUGUAUGUUGUCAUUGUAAUAAAAGCCGUAUUUCUUCCUUUGUUGAAUUGCUUCCCUUUAGUAAUCUUAUUGUGAUCAUUCUGAAACACAGAUUUCCGUUGCUUCUUCAAGCAAACACCAUUAUGUUGAAACAUCUGCAUUAUUUCUAAGUUUAGCAGUACCAGUGGAAAGUUUACUGAAGUAGAAAAUUACUUUUUUAACUAAGGAGUGUAGAUUGUGAAUUCAUCUUAGAGAAGAUGAUCUGAAUAUUGAUGCCUAGAAUAUGAACAAAACAUUACAUAUCUUGUGCUAUGAUAUUAAAGUAGUAUCCUGUUCUGGUAGUAGUAUGGCAGUAUCUUAGGUCUGAAAGAUGUAUAUAAUCUGUACUUUAAAGUCUGUUUUUUAAGAGAUUAAUCACAAGAGAUUUACAUAAAACAAGUAAGAUUAAAAAUAAAUGGUGGAUUAGAGAUACAUCAGGCAAAUUUAAAUUUCAAAAGCAGAUGACAGGGUCUCAAUAUCAGAAUAGCGUUUAAAGCAAAAAGCAUUAAACUGGAUCAAAAAUGUUAUUUUACAUUACACGGGGUCCACUCCAGGUGAAAACUUAGCAGUUAUGAACCAAUGUGCUAAGCAUAACAUCAAAAUGUAUUAAGCAAAAGCUGAAAGAAAUGAAGAAUAGUUGGUAGAAAAGCAGUGAUAGGAAUUUUUAAUGUACUUCAAAACUCAAAAAGAAGGUACAGUCAUGUACCACAUAAUGAUGUUUGAGUCAGCAUCUGACCUCAUAUGUGACAAUGGUCCUAUAAAAUUAUAAUGGAACUAAAAAGUUGCUAUCACCUGGUGACGUAGCCAUUGCAGUGCAAUGUAUUCACUCAUGUUUGUGGUAGUGCUGGUGUAAGCAAACUUGCUGUGCUGUCAGUUGUAUAAAAAGCAUAGCACAGACAGUUAUGUUCAGUACGUAAUACUUUAUAAUGUUAAACAAAUGCUACUAGUCUACAUGUUUAUAGUACUAUACUUUUUUAUUAUUUUAGCAUGUACUCCUGCUUGUUUAAAAAAUGUUAACUAUAAAACAUUCUUUAAGCAGAUCCUUCAGGUGGUAUUCCAGAAAAAGGCGUUAUUGUCAUAGGAGAUAGCAGUUCCACGGGUGUAAUUGCCCCAUAAGACCUUCCAGUGGGACAAGAUGUAUAGGUGGAAGACAGUGAUAUUGAUGAACCUGACCUUGUAGAAACCAAGGCUAAAGUGUGUGUGUAUUUAUUAGUUUUUAACAAGAGUUUAUAAACAAUAAUAAUAAAUUUAAAAAUAGAAAAAAGCUUAUAGAAUAAGGAUAUAAAGAAAAAAAUUUUGUGUAGCCGUGCAAUGUGUUUUAAGCUAAGUGUUAGAAAAGAGUCAGAAUUAAUUUUUUGUGUUUAUAAAAUGAAACAGUUAUAAAAUGCUAAGGUUAAUUUAUCAAAGAAAGAAAAAAAAUUUUUUUUAAUAAAUUUAGAGUAGCAUGUUUAUAAAAUCUACAGUAGUAUACAGUAAUAUCCUAGGACUUUACAUUAACUCACCACUCACCCAGGGCAACUUCCAGUCUUUCAAGCUCCAUUUGUGGUAAGUGCCCUAAACAGGUUUACUAUUUUUAUAUCCUUUAUACCAUUUUUACUGAACCUUUUCUAUGUUAGAUACACAAAUACCAUUGUGUUACAGUCACCUAUGAUACUGAAUUCAGCAAUAUGCUGUAUGGGUUUGUAAAGUAGGAAGUGUAACAUAAUAGCCUAGGUGUGUAGUGAGCUAUACCAUCUAGGUUUGUGUAAGUAUAUUGUAUGAUACAAUGAUGAAAUCACCCAGAUGCAGUUUCUUUUAAGCAACACAAUACUGUAUAUAGGUGGCUUGAAUAAUAAAAUAAUGAAAUGUAUUUUUUCUGUCAUUCAUAAAACAGUUACCAAUCUUACGAAUUAGAUCAACUACAAAACAAAAAUCUCACUCAAAAAUCAAAAUUUAUAAGUUCUAUUUCUUGAUUACAAUUCAUUAGAACUGGAGUUUUUUUUUAAUGUUCAAAUUUAUAUGGAAAUAUAAAACCAUGUUUUAAAUAGUUUUUGAUUCAAUGAGGAAAUGUAAACUUACAUUAGAAAUUAAAAUUAAUAAGUAGAGAUUUAUAAAGGCAAAAAUGUAUCAUUUGAACUAAUAAAUCUAAAUACUGAUUGCAUGAAAUUGCCAAUAAAAUCAAUACAUAUUUUUAAGCCAGUCAAGGAAAAAAGAAAAGAGGGAAACUGAAAACAAGACAUUAAGCAUGAGAAACGAGAUAAAACUACAGUGUGGAGGUGAUGUUAAACAUUAUAUUCACGUUUGUGCUAAUCAUUUUGGAAAUUUCAAUGAGAAAUGGGCAAUUUUCAGUGAAUAUGUCAUCGUAAAUGCUUUAAGGCAAGAGAAAAAAUCUGAAUAGACCCUGCAAUAAUGAAAAUGUCUAGGAGCCCUCAAGAAAUAUUUGGUUUAAAUUGCAUUUCAGGUGGCUGCUUAUCAAACCUUGAAGUAUCAAAUAAUUAUGUUAUCUAAAUUGGACCAGGUGUUAGAAACUAUGUAAGACUUUACAGGUGGCUGCUUAUGUAGCCCUUAUACCUUAAUCUGAUAAAAUAGCUUAUAUUUAAAAAGAGAGAAAACCAGAAAGUACAAUUCAGGGAAAAUUAAUUUUUUUCCAUUUGGCCAAAGUAAGAGUACAUUCAAGGGAAUUGUGAGAGGAAAGAGUGGAAAAAGAGGUUGGAGUUAUAUUUUUAUGCUGUGAUUAAAUUAUAGUGUGUGAUAAAUUGCUCUUGUUUGGGUAGAAUACCAUUUAACAUUUUGGAUUAAUUGGCAACUGGAUUAACCUUAAUUAAAAAAAAUCUGAAAGUGGUAUAAAGGAUGGAUUACAGAAUGGAUAAAGGGUAAUAAAUCAGUUGGCUAUGGCAAAAUUGCAGGAAGAAACUGAAAGAGGCCACAGAAAACCGAAGCUGACGUUUUGAGUAGUAUUUUGAAAUCAAAAUCUGGAUUUUGUCAACUGAAUAGAUGUGUAGGAAUCAAAGAUGAGUAGACUAAAUGAACUUAAUCUUGAUUUGUCUCUCAUUUUAGUUUGUAACGUUAGUGUGUAUGCAUGUAUGUGCCAGGUAGUUAAUAUGCUGUGUCUCUUACCUCCAUUCUGCUGCCUGGGCUUUUGCCAUAGUGCUGGAGUUCCCUCACUUCUCUUUUCUGUAGCCCUGUUAUAUCACAGCUGUCUUUCAGCUAUGUUUCCUUCCUCAAGCAUAAAGAAGAUGGCAGGAUCAUAUCGUAGUUGAUUAGAAGCUGGGGAUGUAGUUGCUGACUAGUGCUGGGAUAAUAUCUACUAUAUCUGUGCAUAUAGUAAUUGACUAGUGAUAGGAUGAUACCUAGUUCCAUUACAUAUGAAGAUAAAUGACCUUACUUCAUCUAUAAAAUGUUUUAUCAAUAGUACCAUUCUUACAUGGUUUUAUGAGUAUUAAAUUAUGCAUUUCUAAAGACAUUUAGAGCAAUAUAAAGAAUAUGGUAUGGGCUCAAUAAGCGGUGGUGGUGGUAGUUAUUAGAAGGCCUUCUAGUGCUAAGAAAAUAGUGAAUAUCACUGAUGGAAAUAAAGUUUUCCACAUAAAAAAGCUUCGGUUUUUGGAAAUGUGUGUUUUAAGUAUUUCUGAGAUUACCAGGUAGAAAUUCCAGCCAGAUGUUGGAAUUAUGCACUGGCAGUUGGGAGUAAAGUCAUAUUGAGGGAGAUAAGUUUUGGAGUUAUUAUGUAAAAUUGGAUAAUUAAAGCACUGGAAUAGAUUGGAUUGACAGAGGGGAAAAUCUUUUGAGAUAUGCCUAUAUUUAGCAACAAGAGAAGAGACAACCAAUAAAGGUUGGAAGAAACCGUAAGAGAGUAAGUCCUAUGACACAAGCAGGGAAGUUUCAGAAUGGGUGGAAAAAAAUCAGCCAGGCUCUUCCUGUUCUCCAUCAUGGUGCAGGAUCAAGGUGAAAAGGAGAACCCCAUGCAGAAACUUUGCAUGUGCAGACUCUGCCUCAACAUAUUUUUAGGAGAAACUGGAGGCAGACUGACUUGAGUAACCAAGGUGUUGGAGCAGCUCACAGAUCAGAACCCUUCGUGUUUGCCAAAGCUAGGUGUACUGUUAGAUCCUUUGGCAACAGGAGAAAUGGAAAGACUGCCGUCUGCUAAACAAUUCGAGGAGCCAAGGCAGAAGAAAUCCGGGAGAAAGGUCUAAAGGUGCAGGAGUGUGAAUUAAGAAAAAAUAACUUCUCAGAUACUGGGAACUUUGGCUUUGGGAUCUAAGAACACAUCGAUUUGGGUAUCAAAUAUGACCCAAGCAUUGGUAUCUACAGCCUGGACUUCUGUGUGGUGCUGGAUAAGCCAGGUUUCAUCAUUGCAAAUAAGUGCAGGACAGGCUGCACUGGAGCCAAACAGAAUCAAUAAAGAGGAGGCCAUGUGCUGAUUCCAGCAGAAGUAUGGUGGGAUCAUCCUUCCUAGCAAAUAAAUUCUCAUUUCUACCCAAGAGGCCAAUACAAAGUGUUCAGUGAAAUGUUUAAAAAAAAAAAAAAAAAAAUCAGCCAGCAGCCAGGAUUGGACUGUGAAAACAGUAGAAAAUUAGUUGUUGAGAAAGCAUUAAUGACCAUUAAGAAAUCAGCCUCAGGUGGGCGUGGUGGCUUAUACCUGUAAUCCCAAUACAUUGGGAGGCUGAGGCAGAUUUCUUGAGUCCAGGAGUUUGAGGGCAGCCUGGGCAACAUGGCAAAACGCUCAUUUCUACUAAGUAAAUAGAUAACCUUCAUUUCUACUAAAUAAAUAAGCAGACAAGCAGGGCUUGGUGUUAAUGCUCCUAUACUCCCAGCUACUCAGGAGGCUGAGGCAGUUGAACCUGGGAGGCAGAGGUUGCAGUGAACCAAGAUUGCACUACUGCACUGCAGCCUGGGUGACAAAGUAAGACUAUGGCACACCUCUACCCUCCAAAAAGAAAUCAGCCUCAUAAUAACCAGUUUCUCUGGAUUAAGGAGUAAGAGCUUCUCAAGAAUUGCUAUUUAUAGAGAGGGAGGCUGAUAGUUUGAGAGAGAUACAGAAUCUAGGGAGAGUGUGGGUUUUUGGUCUUUCAGUUUUUUGUCAGCUCUGGAUAAAGAAUAAAGAUUACCUGAGCAUAUUAUUUAGAGACAGAUGGAGAGAAUAAAGGCACAUGGCAGAUAGGAGAUAAUUAAUAAAGCACUUGCCCACAAUAGACCCUCAUUGAACAGGAAAAGACAUCAAGCAUGAAGAGAUUUUAAGAUGGGAGAAGGGAAUUUUGAGUGUUCAUGUUGGAUGAUCUCAGGGUUCCCAGUAAAAUAGGAGCUGAAUUCAUUGAAGAUGUUGUGUUGGUCAGGAUAAAAAUUGAGGUUGGGAGAACAAAGUGCUAAAAAUCAUUGUGGUCAAGAGUUUAAUAAAUGUAUACCCGAAGAGUUAUUGAGUGAUACGGGUUUGAAAUAGGCAAAGGUAUAGGAAAGAGGGCUGGAAGGAAUAUUAGGAGGAGCACUAAAUGGAAUACUUUUGAGGUCCACCUCCUGGUCUGUGAACAUAAAGGAGUUGAAAGAGUAAUGGCUGACUUUUGAGAUGAUGGCCAGGAAUGUGGUGCUAACUUUAGCUAAAGUUAGAAUGUGUUUAAAGUUGUAUUUGAGCAAAAAAGGUUAAGGAUACAGUUGACUUUGAUAAUGUGAAAGCUAGGAAUGUCAACCCCCUGCACAGUUGAAAAUCUGCAUAUAACUUUUGAGUCCCUAAAAACUUAACUACUAAUAGCCCACUGUUGACCAGAAGCCUUACCCAUAACAUAAACAGUCAAUAACACAUAUUUUGUAUAUAUAUUCUUACAAUAAACUAGACAAAAGAACAUGUAUUAAGGAAAUCAUAAGGAAGAGAAAAUACAUUUACAGUACUGUACUGUAUUUAUUGGUACCAUACAUUUAUGUCUUCUGUUUACAAGGUGAAGCAUCUGUCUGAAAUGGCCAGCAGCUACAGCUGUACAUAUCUACUGUACAUAUCAAGCAAGUCAACUUAUUCUUGUAAUGUCAUGACUUUUGUCUACUUCUUGAGAGCACUUCCAUCACCACUAUUGGCACCUCAUAUGGGUCUCAGGGUGUUACGGUUUACAGAGUUGCACUAAACACAAUGAAAAAUACACAAAGAACCAUAAGAGAGAUAGCUUUUUAUUGCAAUAUACAAUUUACUGGAGAGAUGAGCUGCUCAUACAGAGAUGAUUAGUGUCACACAGUGCUUUAAACAGAUUCUUGCAACCCUUGAGCUCAUUGCAGUAGCCACAGAAGGUAUCUAUGAGAUUUUAACGGUAGUACAGCAUGUACUACAGUUAAUAUUAUGUAGCUAUGAUUUAAUGCUGCAUCUUUGCAUUUGUUUACAUGGUAUCAUGUCUGGUCUUAAAAAUUCUAUGCAUAUGUUAUAAUGCAUUUUAACUUUUUAUAAUAGACUUGUAUAUAUCUUAUGAUAGUAAGUGAUAAAACAGACUGAUAAUCUACUUAUAUUUUACAUAUUCAUGACAUAGACCUAACUUUUUCUUAAUUUUUUAAAUAUUUCUAGGCUAUGUGUUUCAUCUGCAGGUUUUAUAAAAUUGUUGCAAAUCUCUGAAAAAUUAUUGAAAAAAAUCCAGAUUUAUAUAUAUAUAUAUAUAUAUAUAUAUAUAUAUAUAUA